UGGGGAAUAUUGCACAAUGGAGGGAACUCUGAUGCAGCAACGCCGCGUGAACGAUGAAGGUCUUCGGAUCGUAAAGUUCUGUUGCAGGGGAAGAUAAUGACGGUACCCUGUGAGGAAGCCCCGGCUAACUACGUGCCAGCAGCCGCGGUAAUACGUAGGGGGCUAGCGUUAUCCGGAUUUACUGGGCGUAAAGGGUGCGUAGGUGGUCUUUCAAGUCGGUGGUUAAAGGCUACGGCUCAACCGUAGUUAGCCUCCGAAACUGGAAGACUUGAGUGCAGGAGAGGAAAGUGGAAUUCCCAGUGUAGCGGUGAAAUGCGUAGAUAUUGGGAGGAACACCGGUGGCGAAAGCGGCUUUUUGGCCUGCAACUGACACUGAGGCGCGAAAGCGUGGGGAGCAAACAGG
rnacentral:rRNA from 1 species